CACGAUUGCUUUGUUAAAAUUUAGCAACAGUAUGGUCAAGUUUACAGGCAGGAUCCAGAAAGGAAACCCUAGUUUGCAAAGAUUUAUGACUUUCAGGAAUGUUCCGGAAGGCUGGUCCAGAUGGCAAAGUGCUGGAGAUAAAAGGGUCUUUCCCCUGUGGGCUCACACUGGAGCUAGGAAAGCAGGAUGGCGGGAGGAAGAAGGGAGCACGUGACUGCCAGCCUGAGGAAGACCUUUGGAAUGACAGACGAAAGUUUGAUCUCUCUACUUUGUGCUUCUGGUUGAAGAUGAGAGCUCUCAGCUUCCUGCCCUGGCCACCAUGUCUGUAGCUCGCUGCCAAGCUUCCCUUCUCCCUCCACGCCCAUGAUUGACACAUCAUGCUAGAACUGUA